UCUCUAUCCUCUCUCUCUCAUUCUUUAUUAUACUUUCUAUCGAAUUGAAGUUGUCUUCUGAGCUUUUUCAAAUAAUUUGAAAACCAUAAUAUAUUGGAUGAAAUAAUUUGAAGACGAUUCAAAUUGUUUGUAGUGUUUUAAUCUGAAGAAAAUUCAAAUCUGUGUUAUUCUUCCUUCCUGUUGAUACUUAAAAAUAUGGUCUAAUUACAAGUUCUAAAUUAUUCGUGCCUUUCUUAAUUUAUUUUAUUUUUUAAAAUUUUAAACAGCUAUGGCUUCUAUUUAAUAUGUGGCUGGUAAAAUAUUUUUCUUUCCUGGCCAAUAACUCAAUAAAAUUUUGAGUUAGAUUCUCAACAACCCUAUGAUGGCAAAUAUCGUAAUCAAUACAUGAUAGACAAGUUAAAAGAACUCGUUUAUAUUCGUUGACACAGCAAAGCUGCCUGGGAAUAUUUAGAGUACUUCGAAACAAUUCCAUUCUCUUAGUACAAAUUAAUAUCAUACUGGCAGAGACCUUGGUGAAGAAACAGAGAUGGUCGGCCAUGUUUGGAAGCUCAAAAAGUAGUACAAUAAAAACUGCGAGAUCCUUUUAGCCAUAAAAUUAGGAUUUUGCAUAGAUGAAGAGGAGCACUCGACGUAUUGAACGGCGGAGAUCUGAUUGUAGAGUUGAUGUUAUGCGAUGAUUAAUCUUUUGCCAAAACACAAACAGAGCCUAAAAGAGAGCCUUAGGCUAUUGUGUUUGGUUUUGGGGAGAGUGGAAGGUGCUCUGUGGCUCCACUGGUUUUUGGUAGUGUGCCUGCAUCUUCGAGUUUGGGUCGUGUUAUGAAGGUGCGUUUGGUGCGGUGAUGCUUGACAAAGGGAAGCUCGAUAUGUCUCAGAAGCAAUUCAAGUCCACCCCUGAGUUCAUAGACUAGGGAUGAUUGAUGACUGAUCUGGCAUAUUUGAUGCCAACUAUCUCGGCCUUGAAAAAUAAUCCUGUCCUGAACAUGGUUGAUGAAAAGAUCCUCAAGCGUGGGCGUAAUCGACCUGUUCCAGGUGCAUGGUGCUCUGGCGGGAAAAGCUGGUUCAUGGAUCCUUGCUCACAAUGGGGUGAUGUCAAUAUCAUGAAGGCUGGACCUCAAGCAAAGAAGUUUGAAGAGUCCAUUACUAACCUCCUUGAUGACUGGAAUUCACAGUCAAAUCAGUGCAAAUGAAGAUGCUUGACUUCAAGUUAGAACUUCUGAGACUAGGUGCUGUCUUUGCAUCGGACUCGUAGAUUGGUUUGCGAGGCUGCCAUCAGUUUAGAUUACAUUUUUUGGCUCGUAAAGCGUAAUUUUUGAGAGUUGCUCUAGCCACAGGUACUUGAACGAGUGUGUAUAACAGGGCAGAGUGGAAGAGGGAAUGGAAGUGAAUUCACUUUGAUUUUGGGUUAUAUGUAGCAAGGGGGGCAAAUAUUCAAUGUAGAGCCACGAAAGGCCUUUGAAUCAAUAGAGGGGCUUUCUCUUCGUCUUGUCCAUUUGCAUGCUCUUGUAGUUUCUACGUGUUUUGGGAUUAGGGUCCAUCGGUGUUGAAUAUUUGAUUAGUAUAACUUCAUUCUUUCGGUUCUGAUC